UGAAUACCGAAAAUCAGGGGAGCAACGCUAGUCAGGUUUCUGGAUCGAGUCGAAGUUUCGGGGGAUGCAAAUUCGGAUUAGCCUUGGCCAGUCAGCGAGCAGACUUAAACGAAAUCCAUAAAAAAAGGAACCAACGAUCAUUAUGAUCGUACCUUGACCACAGAGAUACGGGUCAAAGAAUAAGAUAGAGACAUGGAAGAAUCGUUUUGCGGUCUGUUGUAAGGCCAAAGAUGGGGCGUGAUUUUGACGAAAAGUAGCCCGAGGGCCAAAUUCUUGUGAAAGAAUAAACUCAGGAGGAUGGUACACGAGGAUGUAUCCGAAGAAAAUCGAACUUCCAUUCAAUGAAAGAGGACAACGGAUCAGUAAUUCCGCGGAUUCGAGUCGUUGAUCGUCAUCAACGUUUUCGGUCUUCUUCAUUGGCUAAAAUUUCCGUAAAGUGCGUGCUAGGUCGUUCCACCUUCCGGCACCAUCAAUGUCUCUCGUUCUCCGUGACGGGGGGUGUGAGCGAGAGGGUCGACAAAGAGUCUCUGUCGAAAGAAGAGAACGAAGCAACUGAAUGGUGCCAGUCAAUGCCGAGGCGUGAGACCCCAGGGUACCCUGGAUUGUCCUUCAGAGAAAACCUUACGAUGAAUGGCUGAAGAAUGGGACCCAAACGAGCCAAAGUUAGUCUCAGAGAGGAGCGCGACGAUGAAGAGGAGGAAAGGAAAACUGAAGGAGGAAGAGUACCACUGAGGCACUUCUCAUUCUUGAAAAUCGCACGGUACGAACUCUCUUUCUUUCUUUUUUCUUUUCUCUUCUUCUUUCUUUUUUUCUUUUUCCUUACUUUGUAUAGCCUCCUUGAAUCGGAUACCGCAAUAAUAUUUUUCUAGGAGCCUACGAAAACUCGAUACUAUCCAUUGGAUUUUGUCGAUCUCGUUUUUCUCGUUACCCUGUCUUAAGGAUAACAUCCUUGAGACUUUCGAAGCAUAUUGACGCGUACCAAAUAACUCUGAAAGAACUUUGACAAACUAAGGAGCUUCAUUUUCUUUUUUUUCUCUUAUAUAUUCUUUUCUUCUUUCAUGUAUGACGUAAUGCGUCGCCUUUGUCGCGCGUUUCGUUCUUCGAGCUUCUUGUCGUAGAUCUCGU